UUCCGGUUGAUCCUGCCGGAGGCUACCGCUAUUGGAGUUCGAUUAAGCCAUGCGAGUCGCGAGAAAUUAGAUUCUCGGCGUACCGCUCAGUAACACGUGGGUAACCUGCCCUAUGCUGGAUAAUAACCUCGGGAAACUGAAAAUAAUGAUCCAUAGUUCACUACGCCUGGAACGGUGAGUGGAUGAAAGCCCCGGCGGCAUAGGAUGGGCCUGCGGCGUAUCAGGUUGUAGGGGGUGUAACGUACCCUCUAGCCCUCUACGCGUACGGGUGUUGGGAGACAUAGCCCGGAGAUGGAUUCUGAGACACGAAUCCAGACCCUACGGGGUGCAGCAGGCGCGAAAACUUGGCAAUGCGAGAAAUCGUGACCAGGGAACUCCAAGUGCAUCGGGUAAGACCGGUGCUUUUCUUGACUCUAAAUAGGUCUUGGAAUAAGGGGUGGGUAAGGACGGUGCCAGCCGCCGCGGUAAUACCGGCGCCUCAAGUGGUAGUCGCUUUUAUUGGGCCUAAAACGUCCGUAGCCGGUCUGAUACAUUCGUGGGUAAAUCAACCAGCUCAACUGGUUGAAUUCUGCGAGGACGGUCAGACUUGGGACCGGGAGAGGUGUGGGGUACGCUCAGGGUAGGGGUAAAAUCCUGUCAUCCUGAGCGGACCACCUGUUGCGAAGGCGCCACACUGGAACGGAUCCGACGGUCAGGGACGAAGCCUAGGGGCACGAACCGGAUUAGAUACCCGGGUAGUCCUAGGUGUAAACGCUGUGAACUUGGUGUCGGGGAUCCGCAAUGGGUCCUCGGUGCCGGAGUGAAGAUGUUAAGUUCACUGCCUGGGGAGUACGGUCGCAAGGCUGAAACUUAAAGGAAUUGGCGGGGGAGCACUGCAACGGGAGGAGCGUGCGGUUUAAUUGGAUUCAACGCCGGA
rnacentral:rRNA from 1 species